rnacentral:lncRNA from 1 species
CUUAGAAGUCAACUGCUUAUUUUUCUAUAUGCAUUUCAGUCCCUGAAACAUCUCAUUAUCUCUCUUCAUCUUUACUCUUUUUUUCUUACUAUACUACUUUGUAAUAUCCUUUCAGGGUGCAUACUAUUGAUACUUAUAUCAGCAUUAUAAAUCUGUAAUGGAUAGAAUUAUAGAUUAAACCUUUGCAGAAACUUGUGGGGGAUCUAAAGGAAGAUGAAGAUGAGUGUCUGGGAAGGAGUUUGUGAGCAAGGAUAGAGUUGGAAUGAGGUGGAUUACAAUCUAAAAGAAAGUCUGGAAGCAAAUUUUUGUCUGGUACCACAUGUAACUACCCAAAGAUAAUAUAAAUUCUGCCUAUGUCUUUCUUCAAUCCUUCUUUCUACUUCCCCAUAGAAAUAUAAAAAAAAUUCAGUUUGAUUUAACUAGUCCCAUGUCCUGAAAUGUAUAAUAACCUUCCCAUAUCUUUUCCUUUAUUCUAAACAGGAACUUUCUAUUAACAAGGAAACAAUGUCUGCUUCACUAUUUCUAAGGAUUCUUUGUGAUUCCUUGAGACUAUGUCUGGUAACAAAUUUCCUGUACUUAACUGCUCUCCACAAGAAAGGUUGAGUGGAUGAUCUGCCCUAGCCUAGUUCAGGACUCCUCCGCAUUAGGUAAGUAGCUUUUCCAAUUUUGAAUUUUUAUUUACCAUAUCCCCAUCCCAUCCCACUGAAACAUGAGCCACAAGACAAUCUGGAGUAGGAGUGGACUCAAAUGCCAAAUAGCAC